rnacentral:rRNA from 1 species
AGAGUGAACGCUGGCGGUAGGCCUAACACAUGCAAGUCGAACGGCAGCACAGUAGGAGCUUGCUCUUACGGGUGGCGAGUGGCGGACGGGUGAGGAAUACAUCGGAAUCUACCUUUUGGUGGGGGAUAACGUAGGGAAACUUACGCUAAUACCGCAUACGCCCUUCGGGGAAAGCCGGGGACCAGCAAUGGCCUGGUGCUGAUAGAUGAGCCGAUGUCGGAUUAGCUAGUGGUGA